rnacentral:rRNA from 1 species
UUACGUAGCAAUACGUAUAGUAAGGUGGCGGAAGGGUGAGGAAUGGGUAGAUUACGUACCCAGGAGAUGGGCAUAACGGCUCGAAAGGGCCGCUAAUACCCGAUAAGACCACGGCAACGCGGUCAAAGGCUGGGGAUCUUCGGACCUAGCGCUCUUGGAUCGGUCUGCUUCCUACCAGCUAGUUGGUGAGGUAACGGCUCACCAAGGCUACGACGGGUACCCGGGCUGAGAGGCUGAUCGGGCACAUCGGCACUGAGACACUGGCCGGACACCUACGGGUGGCUGCAGUUCGGAAUAUUCGGCAAUGGACGAAAGUCUGACCGAGCGACGCCGCGUGCGGGAUGAAGGCCCUAUGGGUUGUAAACCGCUUUCGCGAUUAAGUAAAUCAUGCAGGUUUAACAAACCGGUAUGUUGAAUAAGGAUCGUAAAGAAGCCCCCGCUAAUCACGUGCCAGCAGCGGCGGUAAUACGUGAGGGGCGAACGUUGUUCGGUGUCACUGGGCUUAAAGGGUGCGUAGGUGGUUGCGUAAGUAAGGUGUGAAAUCCCUCGGCUUACCCGGGGAAUUGCAUUUUAUACUGCGUGGCUUGAGGACUAAAGGGGAAAAGGGAACUCCAGGUGUAGCGGUGAAAUGCGCAGAUAUCUGGGGGAAGGCCGGCGGCGAAGGCGCUUUUCUGGUUAGUACCUGACACUGAGGCACGAAAGCGUGGGGAGCAAACAGGAUUAGAUACCCUGGUAGUCCACGCCCUAAACUAUGGAUACUACUUAGAAGGUCCUGCAAGGGACUUUUUAACGGAGCAAAAGCGUUAAGUAUCCCGCCUGGGGAGUAUGGUCGC